GGGGUUGUAGCUCAGUGGUUAAGACAUUAACCCUCUGACCAGAAGGUCAUGAGUUCAAAUCCCAGCACCACCA